rnacentral:rRNA from 1 species
UGAUCCGGGGGUGUCCGAAUGGGGAAACCCAGCUGGGGUAAUUUCCAGUUACUCAUAACUGAAUACAUAGGUUAUGCAGAGGCAUACCAGGGGAACUGAAACAUCUAAGUACCCUGAGGAAGAGAAAACAAUAGUGAUUCCGUCAGUAGCGGCGAGCGAACGCGGAGAAGCCCAAACCAAAGAGCUUGCUCUUUGGGGUUGUGGGACGUCUCACAUGGAGUUACAAAGGAACCGGUUAAGCGAAGAGGUCUGGAAAGGCCCGCCAAAGAAGGUAAAAGCCCUGUAGUUGAAAGUCUGUUCCCUCCGAGACGGAUCCCGAGUAGUGCGGGGCACGUGAAACCCCGUAUGAAUCCGGCAGGACCAUCUGCCAAGGCUAAAUACUUCCUAGCGACCGAUAGUGAAGCAGUACCGUGAGGGAAAGGUGAAAAGCACCCCGGAAGGGGAGUGAAAUAGAACCUGAAACCGUGUGCUUACAAAAAGUCAGAGCCCGUUUUAGGGGUGAUGGCGUGCCUUUUGUAGAAUGAACCGGCGAGUUACGUUCCCGUGCAAGGUUAAGGUGAAGAGCCGGAGCCGCAGCGAAAGCGAGUCUGAAUAGGGCGACAUAGUACGUGGACGUAGACCCGAAACCGGGUGAUCUACCCCUGUCCAGGGUGAAGGUGCGGUAACACGCACUGGAGGCCCGAACCCACGCAUGUUGAAAAAUGCGGGGAUGAGGUGGGGGUAGCGGAGAAAUUCCAAUCGAACUCGGAGAUAGCUGGUUCUCCCCGAAAUAGCUUUAGGGCUAGCCUCGGAAAACAGAGUCGUGGAGGUAGAGCACUGAUUGGGUGCGGGGCCCGCAAGGGUUACCAAGCUCAGUCAAACUCCGAAUGCCAUAGACUUACUUCCGGGAGUCAGACAGUGAGUGCUAAGAUCCAUUGUCAAAAGGGAAACAGCCCAGACCAUCAGCUAAGGUCCCCAAGUGUGUGUUAAGUGGGAAAGGAUGUGGAGUUGCACAGACAACCAGGAUGUUGGCUUAGAAGCAGCCACCAUUGAAAGAGUGCGUAAUAGCUCACUGGUCGAGUGACUCUGCGCCGAAAAUGUAACGGGGCUAAACACACCACCGAAGCUAUGGCUUG